rnacentral:lncRNA from 1 species
GGCGGGCACCUGUAAUCCCAGCUAUGUGGGAGGCCGAGGCAGGAGAAUCACUUGAACCUGGGAGGCAGAGGUUGCAGCCUGGGCAACAAGAGCGAAACUCUGUCUCAAAAAAGAAAGAAAGAAAGAAGUCUUUAGGGCAAGACACAGGCCUUAGCUGCUUCUUCUGGAAAAAUGUUUCUUACAGUUUAUAUGAAUUCAUCAACACAUCUAUGCACAGGACAUACUGUGUACCAGGCAAGUGCUGUUGGGCACUGGGGACACAAUGCCACGUCUAGACAGCAUCACACGUGGAGGGUUCUGGAUAAAUGAGGUAUCGGGUCACUUGAGGAUGGAGAGGGAGGUUUUAUAGAAAAAAUUCACAGACAAGAAGUCUGGAGGACCAAUUUAAAUCAUUACAUGACCUCAGACAAGUCACCUUCCUUCUCUCAGCCUCCAUCUUCCCUUCUAUAAAGUGGGUCUGAUAAAAAUCAUGAAAACUAUUACAUGGCACCAGACACUGACCCAGCAGUUACAGAUGUUCUCUUAAGGCACACAGCCAGCAAGGCAGGUGUUGCUAACAAUUUGUUGUGGAGUAAAUUGUCCCUUUCACAGAUGAGCAAACUGAGACUUGGCUGGUUACCAACUUGCCUGAGGUCAGAGAGCCGGUGGGAGUCAGGGUGUAAGCUCCGGUGUGUCUGAUUCCAGAGCCCACACUCUCCUGCCCUCCCAAACAAGUCCCACACUUCCUCCUCACAGACUGCUGUGAGGAUGCAAUGACAUCACAGAUAUCAGAGCGCUUCGUAAAGUUAAACUGUCAUGUGUCCAAAGUCAACAAAAAGUCAGUCUUGACUCUCCGUGAAACUAAACACUGAAGUUUACAGGGGCACUCAGAACUAGUCACAGCCUAGAACUCCUGGGUUCCUCGCUCUCAACCUCUGGCAUUCCUCGGCUAACUUCCUCCCAGGGAAAGGGACCCAGCAAUCCCAGGAGCCCCAGAUGACCCCUCAAGGCCCACAGAGCAGGGUUCCCCUGGCACCCAUAGGGCCUCCUCCUAGACCAGGAGACCACCUGGCUAGUAGCCUCCUGACUCUCCUGUGCUCCACUCCUGCUGAGGACCUAGAGGGCACGGCCUGGCCCAGGUGCCAUGGGAGCUGCCGCAGGGACCCUCACCACUUCCCACCGACAGGCUGUGGGACCUCAAGCCAGUCACCUCACCUGCCUGAGCCCGAGGUUUCUCACCUGCAAAAUGAGGGAUGAAAGCGGAUCUCAUGUGGGAAAGGAGCCACUCCAAGGAGAGACUCAAACAUGACUGCCCUUGAGCUGGGCACUGACAGGGCACAUCUGGACAGAGGAGGGGCUCAGUCUGCCUCUGCAGAGUCCCCAGCAAGAGGAAGAAGGCUCCAAUUGCAGCAGAGUGGACUUCAAUUAGUCUCAAGAAAGAACUUCCUGCAGAGGCAUUAAGCAUGAACAGCAUACAGAGAAGGGGGGCAUGAUGAGGGCAACUGUAGCAUCUCCUCUGAAAUACAGGAUGCUGUCUCAUUCAUUAUGUCAUUUUACUUUCAAACCAGCCUGGAAGGUAAUCCCAGGAAGUCCUUCCUACAAAUGCAUUUUAUAGGAGAAACAACUCGUGCUCAAAGAGAUAAAAUGAUUCUUCCAGGGUCAUCCUGCCAGUAAGUGACAAAGCCAGGAUCAACAUAAGUUUUCUGUCUUCUGUAUGGUAGACACGUUGGACAGUGAUACCUGGACUUGAGCAAGCCCUGAGAAUGACCUUGUAUGGCAGGCGCACCUCAAUGCAGUUUGGUUCUAAGCUAAGGAAUCUGGGAGUAGCCAACCCGGAGAUCCACUCCUUAUCUAUGAGGAACAUCUGAGCUCUUGGCCCAUCCUAUGGAACUUGCGGGCCAAACAGAGGAUUGAGAUGAGGAAACUGAGGCUCCGAGAAGACACGCAGGGAGCAGCUGCAUGCUGGAACCCAGGUUAACUGGAUUACCAAGUCUUCCCACUCCCCUCAUCUCUCCAGGCAGGAAGGUCCUGGGGGGAGGAAGCAGCCUCGGAAGGAAUGAGCUCCUUGUCCUGGGGAUGUGCAAGUAUUGUCUUGGGACACUGUGGGAGGUAGGCUGCAGAGGGCAGCCAGGUGGCUCUCAAACUGAAAUCACCAGGGGAGCUUCAUCAACUACUGAUGCCUGGGUCAUGCCCCAGAGAUUGUGGGGCCUGCAGGACUUUUAAAAGUUUCCCAGAUGAUUCUAAUGUGAAACAAAGUUUGAAAGCCAUGGGCUUGGAUGCCCACUGCUGCCCUUCCCACCUCUGAAACUCUCCUGCCACACGCCUUUCUAAGGAAAGAAGGGAUUUAUUACCCUGACCCCAUUUUACAAAAUGGGCAGAAGCCAAGCAAAAUAUAAGGGUGUCCUCAAGGCCCCACAGCCAGCAACAAAUCGAGGCAGCAUGAGGGGUCCCCUGAUUUCAGACUGCCCCUGGGGUGAGCUUCUUUAAGACACUUGGGGGUUCCAGCUCCCUUGUCAGUGGGAGAGAAGUUUCUCUUUGAGCCUCCUGGGUGAGAGAGUGAGACAUUCUUCGUGGCAUUUUUUUUAAAGAGUCCACUCGUUCAAAAGCUAAACAGCUGCAGGAUUAACGCUGGAAGACCCCCUCUGCUUGCUGGUGUGCCUUGGGAGCAAGAAGAUAAAAGAACUCAAAGCAGGCCUGUUUAUCCUUUUCUGCAGGAGAUUUGGUCACAAGCCUGGGAAGAGCUGAGCCUGUCAGACCAGCAGCCCACACUUCCUCCCCACCUGCCUUUCCGCCUUCCUCAUGCCCUGAAAGCAGAAUGUCACAGAUGGAGAGAUGGUGUGGGUUGGUGGGAAGUGAGAGGCCUGUGGAGUCCACUGGUCCUGGGGUCUGCCCAAGCUCUCCUCCUUGCCAGCUACCUUUGGAGAGGAGCUACUCCUCUCUCAGCUCAUUCAGUGCUGAUCUCACAGAGGUCCAAAGUCAGCAACAUGGGCACCACCUCCAGGAAGGCUUCCCUGACUCCCCUCCCCACCCAGCGCCGGGCAACCCCAGGCCCCUGGCCUUCCCUGUCACAUUCUGUGUUGUCACUGCUUCUGUGUCCUCCCAACCCUACCAGGCUGUUCAUUCAUUCAUUCCACGGAGCAGCUGCCCUUUGCCUGGGAUUCAUUCCAAACGCCUUUCCUGAGCACCUGUUUUCUCUAAGAUCCUCUGUGAGGUGCUGGAGAUACAGAUCAUAACAGCUAACCUGCACUGAGUGCUCAUUAUGUGCUGGGCAUUUUUUUGAGUGCUUUACACGUAUAAUUCAUUUCACCCUCACAACUCUAUGAUGAAGAUGCUGUAAUUAUCCCCAUUUUACAUAUGGGGAAACUAAAGCCCAAAGAGGUUAAAUCACUUGCCCAAGUCAUUUAGCCCUACCCUGUGCCACCAGCCACAGAUACUGAUGGGACCGGCCCCUGCCUCAGGAGCCUGCUUCUCACAAUUUGGAAGUUUUGCAUCUGUGUGUUUCCUUGUCUAAUGCUGUUUCCCCCACAGACCAGAAUCUCCAACCAUGUUACAUUUCGGUUGGAUGUGUGUGUGAGCAGCACCAAAUAAAUGCUGCUUCCCUUUAAGGAAGAACUCACACUCUCUGCCCAGCAUCUGCUAGCUGGACGCCAGACGGCUUCUCCCACCUGGGUCAUUUCUUCUGCGUAGGCCUGAGAAGAAAACCCAAGUCCCCAGAUAUCCCAGUCCUGCUCCCUCCCCUGAACCUAGCUCGGGACCCUUCCAGGCCAACAGCACCUGCUUACACACCACUGUUCACAGGGAAGGUGGUGGGAACUGUGAAUCUGCAAACCCCAGCUAAGUCC